AGCGAACGCUGGCGGCGGGCCUAACACAUGCAAGUCGAGCGGCCGUAGCAAUACGGCAGCGGCAGACGGGAGAGUAACACGUGGGAACGCGCCCUUCGGUUCGGGAUAACUCAGGGAAACUUGGGCUAAUACCGGAUACGCCCUUAUGGGGAAAGAUUUAUUGCCGAAGGAACGGCCCGCGUCCGAUUAGCUUGUUGGUGAGGUAACGGCUCACCAAGGCGACGAUCGGUAGCUGGUCUGAGAGGAUGACCAGCCUCACUGGGACUGAGACACGGCCCAGACUCCUACGGGAGGCAGCAGUGGGGAAUAUUGGACAAUGGGCGCAAGCCUGAUCCAGCCAUGCCGCGUGGGUGAUGAAGGCCCUAGGGUUGUAAAGCCCUUUCAGCGGGGAAGAUAAUGACGGUACCCGCAGAAGAAGCCCCGGCUAACUUCGUGCCAGCAGCCGCGGUAACAC
rnacentral:rRNA from 1 species